rnacentral:tRNA from 1 species
GCGCCCGUAGCUUAAUUGGAUAGAGCAUCUGACUACGGAUCAGAAGGUUGUGAGUUCGAAUCCCGCCGGGCGCGCCA